GUGGGGAAUCUUAGACAAUGGGGGCAACCCUGAUCUAGCCAUGCCGCGUGAGUGAUGAAGGCCUUAGGGUCGUAAAGCUCUUUCGCCGGGGAAGAUAAUGACUGUACCCGGUAAAGAAACCCCGGCUAACUCCGUGCCAGCAGCCGCGGUAAUACGGAGGGGGUUAGCGUUGUUCGGAAUUACUGGGCGUAAAGCGCGCGUAGGCGGAUCGGAAAGUUGGGGGUGAAAUCCCGGGGCUCAACCCCGGAAUUGCCUUCAAAACUCCCGGUCUUGAGGUCGAGAGAGGUGAGUGGAAUUCCGAGUGUAGAGGUGAAAUUCGUAGAUAUUCGGAGGAACACCAGUGGCGAAGGCGGCUCACUGGCUCGAUACUGACGCUGAGGUGCGAAAGCGUGGGGAGCAAACAGGAUUAGAAACCCGGGUAGUCC
rnacentral:rRNA from 1 species